UGUAACUUGUGUAACUUGUGUAACUUGUCAGGAUCUGCCUUGAACAAUGCUAAAGGAAAGUAUUACUCCUCAUAUUCUGCUGGAGGGAAAAGGGUGAACCUAUAUCUGUAGUUGUAUGAUAAAAAUAGAAAUCAUACAGACAGAAAGUCAGUUACUAGCUGUUUCUGAACAUGAUCAAGUGUAAGUUGUGGUUAAAGAAAUUCUCAGUCAUCAUUUAUGUAAAUCUCAUUAUUGUGUAAUAGGCUUGUAAAGAGACUACAGAGAUUACAUGCACUUGUGAAUUUGAGUGUUAGAAAACGCAAGUUCAGAUCGAGCAGAUGCACUGAAUGAUUGAGAAGCAACGGCUAAAAAUCCACAGAGAAAGAGAAAGAGGAAGAGGAAGUCUGGAUCCGUCAGAGCAGGAGGUUUUCUCCACGCAUCAAUAGUCCUCAGCUUUUUCUGAGCUAAAACAUGCGAAACAUCAGUGUGAGGUGUGGAGAGAUUGAGACUGACGGUGUGUUUGAGUUCAAACUUCCCUCUGAUUCACUCAAUCACACACUCGGAGACUGUGAGCAGAGCUGGUAUCUACAGGACGGGCGUCUGAUAGCAGAUCCAUCAGAUCCUCAAACACUGUUUGAUCCUGUGACGGCUGUAAAAUCUGAUCGUCUCGUCACGUCUCGCUGUGUGAAUCUGAAUCAUGAGAUCAUCUGUGAUUC